rnacentral:rRNA from 1 species
UACGUAGGGUGCGAGCGUUAAUCGGAAUUACUGGGCGUAAAGUGUGCGCAGGCGGCCGCGCAAGUCGAGUGUGAAAGCCCCGGGCUUAACUUGGGAAUUGCGCUCGAAACUACGUGGCUGGAGUGUGGCAGAGGAAGGUGGAAUUCCACGUGUAGCGGUGAAAUGCGUAGAGAUGUGGAGGAAUACCGAUGGCGAAGGCAGCCCCCUGGGCCAAUACUGACGCUCAUGCACGAAAGCGUGGGGAGCAAACAGG